rnacentral:RNase_P_RNA from 1 species
UGAGUGAGCGGGGUGAUCGCUGGUGGGUUUGUUUCCACUGGAGGAAAGUCCGGGCUCCGAAGGACGGGAUGGUCGAUAACGUCGACCGGUCGUGAGAUUAGGGAAAGUGCAGCAGAAAGUAAACCGCCGAACGGUGGCAAUCAGCCCUGCAAUAGCGGCCAGCUGGAGUCAUGCGUGGUAAGGGUGAAACGGUGUGGUAAGAGCACACCAGCGUUCAAGGUAACUUGAGCGGCUAGGUAAACCCCAUCCGGAGCUAGACCAAACAGAGUGGAGUUCGAACGCAAGUUCGUCGCAAGGUGGUCCGCCUUGACUGACAUUCGGGUAGGUCGCAAUUGAGGCGGCGAGCAAUCGCCGUGCACAGAUAAAUGGUCACCCAUUCGUUAUCAAUCGAUACGAAUGACAGAACCCGGCUUACAAGCUCACUCUCAGC